AACGAAUUCGAUGUGGUAGUUUAGGUUGCUUCUUACUGUUGCUUAUCCAAAUCGACGAAUGGUGUUCGUUUUCUGGUAGUCAGGAGUUUGCAGGAACACGGACGAGUUUGCAAUCGACUAGGAUAAGGGGGAUUUUCCUUGUCUAAAUUGGAAAAAAGGGGAAGGGAUUCAAGGUCCCAGAACUAGGUAAUUGGUAUUUCCCUUUAGCAUAAAAUUGAUUAUCAAUAGCAAUUGAAACUACAAACUAUAAUUGAUAAAAAAAAUCUGAUAGAUUACUAUUUGGUAUAUGUAGCAAUUAAGUUUUAAAAUCAUCAAUAUUUAGUUAUGCAUAUUACUUUCUUGUUGGAAUGGAGUUACUUUUAAAUAGAACUUAUUGUGGUAUUCAAGUGUGUUUCUAGACCAUGCUUUAUCAUAUUUAGUGUUUCUACAUAUAAUGUUAUCUAGAAGAACCAGAAAGGAAGGUGUAUGUAUUUUCUUGACAGCACGGAACUAAAAGCAAUUAUAUCACUAUGGUCAAAACGGCUUCUCCUCAUCGUAUUAUGACCAAAUUUCAAGAUAUCAAAUAAACCCUUAGGUGCGGCAAUACAGAAUCAAAUCCCUAUUGGUCGGUUGGAGGUGAUAAAAGAGAAUAAGUUGUCGUACUAAAAUUUCAAGAUGUCGCUUACUCGAAAUUUAGAGCAGCCAAUGGUGUAUAUGUUCCAAAACCAUUAA